rnacentral:lncRNA from 1 species
AAAGAAGGACCAAUGAAAUAGAAAAACGAAAUCAUAAACAAAACCCAGGUUCUAAUUCCAUAGAUAAUAUAAAUAGUAUUGUCUAUAAUCUAGAUGAUUGGGUUGACCUUGAAAAUUCAAUCAUUGAAAUUUUAAAACAAUUGAAUUGAUUGGAUGGUACCAAGAAAAUAGAUUAUUAACUUACAUUUAUUAUUCAAUAUCAUUAAAUAAUCUAGAUGAUUGGGUUGACCUUGAAAAUUCAAUCAUUGAAAUUUUAAAACAAUUGAAUUGAUUGGAUGGUACCAAGAAAAUAGAUUAUUAACUUACAUUUAUUAUUCAAUAUCAUUAACCACUUACUUUGUUAUCGAGCAUUUUUUUUAAAAAGAAAAUUGAUAUUAUGCAAUAUGACAAUAAC